AUUGAACGCUGGCGGCAGGCCUAACACAUGCAAGUCGAACGAGUGGCGGACGUGUGAGUAAUGUCUGUGAAACUGCCUGAUGGAGGGGGAUAACUACUGGAAACGGUCGCUAAUACCGCAUACCAUCGGAUGUGCCCAGAUGGGAUUAGCUAGUAGGGUGGGUAAAGGCUAACAUAGGCGACGAUCCCUAGCUGGUCUGAGAGGAUGACCAGACACACUGGAACUGAGACACGGUGCAGACUCCUACGGGAGGCAGCAGUGGGGAAUAUGGCACAAUGGGCGCAAGCCUGAAGGAGCCAUGCAGCGUGUAUGAAGAAGGCCUUCGGGUUUUAAAGUACUUUCAGCGGGGAGGCGUUACCCGCAGAAGAAGCACCGGCUAACUCCGUGCCAGCAGCCGCGGUAAUAC
rnacentral:rRNA from 1 species